CAUUCCCAUGAGGCACUGCGGCCCAGGGACUGGUGCGGAAAGGGCCCACAGUGGACUUGGUGCACUGUAUGCCCUAACCGCUCAGUCCCUGGGUCUGGCAUGACAGACAGAACAUU
rnacentral:pre_miRNA from 14 species